GCCGCGGCUCCGCAGGGCCCGGCGAGCGAGGGCGGCCCGGCGGCGCGCUGCCCGCUGCUGACACCGUGUGGAGCCGCGCCGGGGCUGCAGGGAGCUGCGUCGGCCCGGGUCCUUCCGCGGGUCCCGCUGGCAGAGCUGCCGAAAGCCCCCGGUCCCGCUGCAUGGAUGCUCGGAGGAAGAGCUGCCUACGUGCUCAGCGGCGGUUUCCUACCGUCGAGCAUGCUGACCAAGAGGACAGCCACCAGCUGGACCUUGCACUGGGACUGCUGCAUUGCCUUGUCAACCAUUGGUGCUGCACUCAGCAUAGGAAAUGGGAACUAUGAUUACUGUGAUUAAUGCUACUGAUUGGGUGAGGAUACUUUCUAAUGUGAAACUACGCUAUCAUUAUAUCAGCAGGAGCUUUGCAGAAAACAAGCUCAUCUUGUCUGUAACAGAGUACAACAUAAUCCUAUCUGGCCGCAUCCAGCGUCUGAUUUUCAAGAAGCGUCUCCCUGCGGAAAAGGAGCAGUUUGAGGAAAUGGUGAUCUACUAACCAUAGUGCUGCCAACUGCUUGUCUUCUGGCGUGGCGCUGGGGCCUGAGUGGGUUUUUAGUCUCACUGCGUACCUUAAGCAAAAGGAAAGAAGCCUAUGUGAGUAAACUGACACAGCUUUAUUUUACUGAUCAGCUCUGACUAGAGCUAUGCUGACCAAUGUAAUCUGAGCUGGCCCGUUAUAUGUAUUUGCUCAAGUUACCAAACAUACAUGUCCUUUUCUGGCUGUGUUUUGGAA